AGGGAAUAGAUACCCAGGUAGUCCCAGCCGUAAACGAUGCUCGCUAGGUGUCAGGCAUGGCGCGACCGUGUCUGGUGCCGCAGGGGAAGCCGUGAAGCGAGCCACCUGGGGAAGUACGGCCGCAAGGCUGAAAACUUAAAGGAAUUGGGCGGGGGAGCACAACAACGGGUGGAGCCUGCGGUUUAAUUGGACUCAACGCCGGACAACUCACCGGGGGCGGACAGCAAUAUGUAGGCCAAGCUGAAGAACUUUGCCUGAAUCGCUGAGAGGAGGUGCAUGGCCGUCGCCAGUUCGUACUGUGAAGCAUCCUGUUAAGUCAGGCAACGAGCGAGACCCGUGCCCACUGUUACCAGCAUAUUCUCCGGAAUGA
rnacentral:rRNA from 1 species